AUGGACAUGAAGGUCCCUGCUCAGCUCCUGGGGCUCCUGCUGCUCUGGCUCACAGGUGCCAGAUGUGACAUCCAGAUGACCCAGUCUCCAUCCUCUUUGUCUGCAUCUCUAGGAGACACAGUCACCAUCACUUGCAAGGCCAGUCAGGGCAUUAGCAAUUGUUUAGCAUGGUAUCAGCAGAAGCCUGAGAAAGCUCCUAAGCCUCUGAUCUAUGAUGCAUCCACUUUGCAAA